UAAUACAGAGGGUGCAAGCGUUAAUCGGAAUUACUGGGCGUAAAGAGCACGUAGGUGGGUAUUUAAGUCGAAUGUGAAACCCCUGAGCUUAACUUGGGGACUGCAUGCGAUACUGGAUACCUAGAGUAUAGUAGAGGGAAGUGGAAUUUCCGGAGUAGCGGUGAAAUGCGUAGAUAUCGGAAGGAACACCAGUGGCGAAGGCGGCUUCCUGGGCUAAUACUGACACUGAGGUGCGAAAGCGUGGGGAGCAAACAGG
rnacentral:rRNA from 1 species